UGGCCACUUCAAACGUUCAGAGCCUCCUGGUGGCUAAAGUUAUAACUACAAGUUAAGAAAUGACACUUGUUUUGUUGACAUAGCUGUCAAAUUGGUGUUUAGAUUUGAAUGUGAUUUGCUGUAUUUUGUUCUAAUGAACUUUUGGUGAAUGAACUACAAGGUGUUUUUUUGUCUACCUACGGAUGAACCAUAAAAAACCAAUGAUCUCCAUACUACCUGGAUUCGGUCUCUAUAGUUCCCUCUGCUGCUCACAGCACGAACGACGAGCUCCUUUCUUCCACAUUACUACACCGGAAAUAUAGAGCGUCCAUAGAGCUGGCUAGAUGUCACCAGAAGGUCUGAAUGUAUUUUCAAAUAAUUACAAUACUUUAUUCUAUUGUAUUAAAAUUAAUUUUUAAGACAAUGGAAUAGUAUAAGUAUGGAAUAGUGAUAAUAGUGUAGAAAAGUUUAUAGUUGUUGUAUGGAGAUGAUAAUUUGACUCUGAGUGAUCUUAAAUCCGGAAAAAAAUUGGUGCUAAAGGUUUAAUCCAAAAUUCUGAAACAAUAGUUUUUUUUAUCUGUAUUCUACUAAAUAUAUUUAUAGGCAUAUUAAA